UUGAACGCUGGCGGCAGGCCUCACACAUGCAAGUCGAACGGUAACAGGAAGCAGCUUGCUGCUUCGCUGACGAGUGGCGGACGGGUGAGCAAUGUCUGGGAAACUGCCUGAUGGAGGGGGAUAACUACUGGAAACGGUAGCUAAUACCGCAUAACGUCGCAAGACCAAAGAGGGGGACCUUAGGGCCUCUUGCUAUCGGAUGUGCCCAAAUGGGAUUAGCUAGUAGGUGGGGUAACGGCUCACCUAGGCGACGAUCCCUAGCUGGUCUGAGAGGAUGACCAGCCACACUAGAACUGAGACACGGUCCAUACUCCUACGGUAGGCAGCAGUGGGGAAUAUUGCACAAUGGGCGCAAGCCUGAUGCAGCCAUGCCGCGUGUAUGAAGAAGGCCUUCGGGUUGUAAAGUACUUUCAGCGGGGAGGAAGGGAGUAAAGUUAAUACCUUUGCUCAUUGACGUUACCCGCAGAAGAAGCACCGGCUAACUCCGUG
rnacentral:rRNA from 1 species